GCGGGUCGGGCUGGCGGGUGAAGUGCCCUCGCCGCUGGCGCCGCCGGACGGCUGCGUGUUCCGUACGCGCUGCCCGCA
rnacentral:tRNA from 1 species